CGCCGCCGAAGGUUAAGCUUUGUUUACAAUGGGAGGUGCGAGAGGUCACGGGCGGGCGCGUCCCCGGAAGCGGGGCCGGACGCAGAGAUUGUGCCCCUGAUUCCUUCCGGCCGGUCCCCAGGCCCCUGUACUUUCCAAACUGGACAAGCCACGGGAGACGCGAUUUUAAGAUUCUUCUUGGAAAGCCAAUGUUCUAAGAAACAAGACUGCGUGGCAGACAGUCGAUGACGAAUAGACAUUUGGAACUGUCAAAUUUGAAUUUGGCGGGCGAAUGCGCCAGUCGGCCCGCGCGGCGCGGCUGUCGACAAGGAACUCGGGACAGGGACGUCUUGAGGGCCAAAAGACGUUACGUUAGACCCUUCGAUCCCCUUCGUUUAUUUUGAACGGUGAUAAUGGUUUGUUGCUUUCUAGUGGCCGUUUGAUUUAAUUCCUGUUGAUUGAAAAGGAAUAAAGACUGAAAAAAAAUUGUAUGAAUUUAGCCUUUGUGUGAAUUAAUGAUUAUUAUAAUAGUACCUAUUACCAAAAUAUAUAAUUAUAUAUACCUACCUAUAAUGUUAUUUUAUUUAGGUUAUAUUAUAACUCUUCCUCAGUAUUACUAUUAUAAACAAAACCUAAUUAAAACUUUAAUUUGUUUAUUUAAACAUGACAAUUUAAAUUUAGAAGUGUGACAAAAUGGGUGUGUGUAAUAGUGAAGUGAACUCACUGUACUGUUUAAUUAUUACUACUC